ACCGAUUGAUUGAUUGAUUAUAUUUAUUGUAGUCUGUCAAGGACGACUGGCGCGCAUGUUUGUAGAGUAUCACUUAUUCUGUUUGGGUACACUAGCUCUACAGUUUCCGUGUCGUUUUGUAAUGUAUCCUGAUGGAUGCUUAUUCUGAUUGUGUACAUUCCGGCUUUGAGACCGUGGCAUAUUCUGAUUAAAGCGGAUUAUGACAAUUUACUGGUUAAUUUGUUGCACAGGGAAGCUGUGCAUUGAAGUUGGUCCGGCGUCAAAGGUUUCCUUCAUCUCUGAGGAGUUGUGCAUUGGCUGUGGUAUUUGUGUCAAGAAAUGCCCAUUUGAUGCCAUCGAGAUCAUCAACCUCCCAAAAGAUCUGGAAAAGGAUGCAGCAGUUCUUUCUCGGGAUUGCACCUCAGAAUUCUUCAAUUCAUUUCCAGUAAUAAAGCUUAACAGCUGGGCGAUCUGCAUGCAUGCAUGGGCGAUGGGCCGCGCCGGUCUAAAUUCAAUACGGGGGCUUGACGAGGAUGCUCCUCAGCGAGUUGGCGACUUGGCCGCCUCCAGCAUGCUCCACAAACUGCGCCGGAUUGAAGAAGCUACCAUGGCACACACACUUGAUCCUCACGUCGUCAACUUUGCUGUACUCGUACAGCCAGCCUACAGCCCUCCUGCCAUUGGGGAGCCCGAUGGUCCACACCAAUGGCAUCUCCUGCACCAUCAUCGCGGGCAUGUCUGAAGCAACUUGCCGCUCUCCCCCAGAACCAAGGGCUGCCGCUACCACCGCUGAUGGUGAAGAAGAAGCGGUUGCCACGACGCCGUUUGUACCCACGGGCCAGGACAUAACAGCUGCUGACAGGCUCCGAACUUCAGCGCUAGGAGUUCCUGUAUAAUACUCUGACGGAGUUACCUUCUUCAGAGUGCAGAGGAGCAAAAUUGUUCUAAUCAGCAGCAGCACAGCAGUCACUUGGAUCAGUGGAAGAAGAGCAUGAGCAGCACGGGCAGAGGAGCAACAGCAGCUAGUUCUUCAAGUACAAUGGAAAACAAUCAAGCUUAUAUCUGAAAAAUGAGUUAGCUAGGCUCAGAAUUUUGAGUUGGCCUCUUUACAUAUGCUACCUGAAAAAUGAGUUAGCUAGUCAUCUAAGUUGAGCUGAUUUUGAUUUCCGUAUGUUAUGGGGGGACAAUAAAUAUUGCUAUAUGUUAAUUCUUGAGGGUACAGACUUGCUAAACUAUUGAUGAUUUUUUGUUGGGUGAUC